rnacentral:rRNA from 1 species
GACGAACGCUGGCGGCGUGCUUAACACAUGCAAGUCGAACGGAAAGGCCCUGCUUUGGUGGGGUGCUCGAGUGGCGAACGGGUGAGUAACACGUGAGCAACCUGCCCUUGACUUUGGGAUAACUGCUGGAAACUGGGGCUAAUACUGGAUAGGAGCACCGUCUGCAUGGGGGGGGUUGGAAAGUUUCGGCGGUUGGGGAUGGGCUCGCGGCUUAUCAGCUUGUUGGUGGGGUAGUGGCUUACCAAGGCUUUGACGGGUAGCCGGCCUGAGAGGGUGACCGGCCACAUUUGGACUGGGGUACGGCCCAGACUCCUACGGGAGGCAGCAGUGGGGAAUAUUGCACAAUUGGCGGAAGCCUGAUGCAGCAACGCCGCGUGCGGGAUGACGGCCUUCGGGUUGUAAACCGCCUUCGCCUGUGACGAAGCGUGAGUGACGGUAACGGGUAAAGAAGCACCGGCUAACUACGUG